rnacentral:rRNA from 1 species
CCUACGGGUGGCAGCAGUGGGGAAUAUUGCACAAUGGGGGAAACCCUGAUGCAGCGACGCCGCGUGUGUGAAGAAGUAUUUCGGUAUGUAAAGCUCUGUCAGCAGGGAAGAAAAUGACGGUACCUGACCAAGAAGCCCCGGCUAACUACGUGCCAGCAGCCGCGGUAAUACGUAGGGGGCAAGCGUUAUCCGGAUUUACGGGGUGGAAAGUGAGCGUAGACGGCAGGGCAAGUAUGGAGUGAAAGGCGGGGGCUCAACCCCCGGACUGCUCUGGAGACUGCCAGGCUGGAGUGCCGGAGAGGUAAGGGGAAUUCCGAGUGUAGCGGUGAAAUGCGUAGAUAUUAGGAGGAACACCAGUGGCGAAGGCAGCUUACUGGACUGUAACUGACGUUGAGGCUCGAAAGCGUGGGGAGCAAACAGGAUUAGAUACCCGGGUAGUC